UGGGGAAUAUUGCACAAUGGGCGCAAGCCUGAUGCAGCCAUGCCGCGUGUAUGAAGAAGGCCUUCGGGUUGUAAAGUACUUUCAGUCGGGAGGAAGGUGGUAAGGUUAAUAACCUUGGCAAUUGACGUUACCGACAGAAGAAGCACCGGCUAACUCCGUGCCAGCAGCCGCGGUAAUACGGAGGGUGCAAGCGUUAAUCGGAAUUACUGGGCGUAAAGCGCACGCAGGCGGUUGAUUGAGUCAGAUGUGAAAUCCCCGGGCUUAACCCGGGAAUUGUAUCUGAUACUGGUCAGCUAGAGUCUUGUAGAGGGGGGUAGAAUUCCAUGUGUAGCGGUGAAAUGCGUAGAGAUGUGGAGGAAUACCGGUGGCGAAGGCGGCCCCCUGGACAAAGACUGACGCUCAGGUGCGAAAGCGUGGGGAGCAAACAGG
rnacentral:rRNA from 1 species